UUUAUAACCAUUUGUGAAUAACGGAUGCUUAUUCCGAGGGGAAUGAGUUGUUUUUGAGAGUAUCUCAUUAUAUGGUUAAUUAUAUCCUAUUUUAUUGUGACAGGACGUACUGAGCCCUCGAGCGAGGAGGACACAGACAGGCAGCAGGGUUAGCUGCGGGAUUCACUUAUUUCAGAUUAGCCGAGAUUGCGUCCAGGCUCAAGAACUUGGGAAUCAGCGCUUCCGUUUUUGUCCGUAGGUUAUUACUUAACCUACCUUGUAUGAUAUCGGCUUAGUUUAGUGUUGCUCUGAUAAACCUUUCUUUUAAGUUUGAUGGAUGUUGUUGUUUGGUUUGUUGUUACUUACGGAGGAUUAUAUUGGGAUUUGAACUUUCUGAAUAAGUUAUAG
rnacentral:lncRNA from 1 species